rnacentral:misc_RNA from 1 species
GAUGAAGAACGUAGCGAAAUGCGAUAAGUAAUGUGAAUUGCAGAAUUCAGUGAAUCAUCGAAUCUUUGAACGCACCUUGCGCCCUUUGGCCAUUCCGAAGGGCAUGCCUGUUUGAGUAUCAUGAACACCUCAACUCUUUAUGGUUUUCCAUGAUGAGCUUGGACUCUGGGGGUUUUGCUGGCUCACAGUCGGCUCCUCUAAAAUGAAUCAGCUUGCCAGUGUCUGGUGGCAUCACAGGUGUGAUAACUAUCUACGCUUGUGGUUUUCCGCCAGGUAACCUCCAGCGAUGGAGGUUCGCUGGAGCUCACAAACGUCUCUCCUCAGCGAAGACAGCUCUUGAACGUUUGAUCUCAAAUCAGGUAGGACUACCCGCUGAACUUAAGCAUAUCAAUAAGCGGAGGA